UAUAUUAAAGUUGUUGCAGUUAAAAAGCUCGUAGUUGGAUUUCUGGUAUAAUGCGCCUGGCCCGCGACCGUCAGGUCUGUGAGUGCCGGUGCGCGUUUGCCAUCCUUCUAGAAAACGUUUCUACCCUUAACUGGGCCGGAUUCGCGAUCUAGAUCUUUUACUUUGAAAAAAUUAGAGUGUUUAAAGCAGGCUUUUGCUAUGAAUACAUUANGCAUGGAAUAAUAAUCUAGGACUUCGGUUCUAUUUUGUUGGUUUCUAGUACUGAAGUAAUGAUUGAUAGGGAUAGUUGGGGGUGCUAGUAUUGGCCGGCCAGAGGUGAAAUUCUUGGAUUCGGUCAAGACUAACUUAUGCGAAAGCAUUCACCAAGGAUGUCUUCUUUAAUCAAGAACGAAAGUUGGGGGAUCGAAGACGAUCAGAUACCGUCGUAGUCUCAACCAUAAACUAUGCCGACUAGGGAUGAGUGAACGUUGCAUUUUCGACUUCAUUCGCACCUUAUGAGAAAUCAAAGUCUUUGGGUUCCGGGGGGAGUAUGGUCGCAAGGCUGAA
rnacentral:rRNA from 1 species